CAAGCAGCAGCUCUGACAGUGUGCUUCUGCAUCCUGCCUUCCCAGCUGCUCCAGCUCUGCCUCUCCAGGGCUGAAGGAUGGGCCAAGCUUUCUGCUCAUCACAGCUUUGCUACUGACACCACAAACCAGGUAAAGGCAUCAACACCCCUUCAGAAAGAGCCUGCGUGGUCAGUGCAAUGUCAGUCACUCACUGCUGGCCAGGAUCUGAGCAGGGAACCUGCCAGGAGAUGUGAGGAGUGACUGUCCUAUCCCCAAGGCCCUCAUGCUUGUUUGCCUCUGAAAGUCCCUGUCUGCGUGCACUGCUGUGCCACCCUGCCUUGGACACACCUUUUAAACUCCAAAGAUAAUGUACUGCACUUGCCUUAAUGCUGCUUUUGGGAUGUGUGACUGCAAACUACCUCAGCACUUAGAUAACGAUGAGCUAUGGGGGGAAACCACAGCGGUACUUCUAUUUAAAUCCAGUGGGUAAGAUGUACCAUGCCGGUCUUUAAAAUGCCACUUUCAACGGGACACAAAGGAGCCCUUGGCCCCUGUGACAGCUGGGCUCUUAUUUCCAGGGGCACAACUUGUGCUUCUGCUCAUGGGCUACUUACCAACCUGAGGGUGCCAGCUGAGAGCAUGGUAAGGUGUUCUUCCAUGAGGAUGUUGUACAUGGUAACUGCAAGCAUCGAAGACUUUCACUGCACAGAGGAUGUGAGGACUCAACUCAGGUUUGCAAAUUCCAUUCCUGCAGCUGAACACCCCCUGUACCAUCAAAUGGAGCAGCCAUCCCACAGGCCUCAGCCCAGUACAGCUGGGGCUGUCAUCACAAUGCUCAGAUAA
rnacentral:lncRNA from 1 species